rnacentral:rRNA from 1 species
GCGCCGGCGUCGAGCGUCGCCCACGGAGUUGGAGGAGGCGCGCCGGCGCCCGCGGGGGCGGACUCGGCUUUGGAGACCAACGUGGUGAUCAUCAUGGCCGCGCUCUUCUUCGGACUGCUCCUCGUCAUCGCGCUCAACUCGCUGGUGCGGUGCGCGCUCCGGCGCGUGUGCCGCGGGGCCGCGGCCGCUGCCGGCGAGGGCCGAGCGUGGGCGCGGGUGGCCUGCAGCGGCAGCGACAUCAAGAGGCGCGUCCUCAGGAGCCUCCCCGUGGAGGUGUACGGCUCCGGGGAGGACAUCGACGACGUGUGCGCCAUAUGCCUGAGCGAGUUCGUGGACGGCGAGAAGGUGCGCGUGCUGCCGCUCUGCGGGCACGCCUUCCACGUCCGCUGCAUCGACGCCUGGCUGGUGUCCCACGGCUCCUGUCCCACCUGCCGGCGGCCGGUCAUCGAGAAGGGCGCCAGCGGCGGUGUCGUCGAAAGCCAGCGCCCUGCGGAGACGGAUACGAUCAUCAACGUGGUG